CCCUUAGAUGAUUUGGGCUGCACGCGCGCUACACUGACCCUAACAAUGAGCAACUGUCUGGCCUGAGAUGGCUGGGUAGCCUUUUCAACCCAUGUCAUGAUUGGGCUAGAUUUUUGUGAGUCUUGAUCUCUAACGAGGAAUCCCUAGUAUGCGUGAAUCAUCAAUCCAUGCAGAUUAUGUCCCUGCCCUUUGUACACACCGCCCGUCGCUCCUACUGAUUGGGUGAUCCGGUGAGCUGUUCGGCCAUAGCAAUGUUUCUUGAGCAGGGCAAUGAAUGUUUCGCAAACCUUGCCACUUAGAGGAAGGAGAAGUCGUAACA
rnacentral:rRNA from 1 species